rnacentral:lncRNA from 1 species
AAUUACAUCAAAGUCCCCCAUGUCUAAUUCUAUUAGGUCCACACUCAAUUUUCUAUCUCCUAUAUCUAUGACGCAGGCUCUGUAUAAAACUUCUCUCAAUAGUGUCAUACUCCCAACAGUAGACACAAACAACACAAAAUCAAAUUUAUUAGGUAAUACAUUAAGUUUUGAUGUAAAAAUAGGUGAAACAAAUGAAAGCAAUGCACCAGUAUCAAUUAAAACAUGAGCAAGAUGGUUACAGAUAGUGUACGUAUCCUGUACCACGUCUGAGUUGGCUUCUACAUCCUGUUGGGUAAGAUUGUAUGCUCUACCCUGGAUAGGAGGUCUGGCCUAAUUCUGGUUCCUCGGGCACUCCCUUGCAUAAUAUUGGGCACUACCACAUAUGCGACAGGUAUUGUUUAGGCGAUAGCAAGGUCGGUUCCCAUGAUCCCUGCCACAAUGUUGAGAGAUCUUAUCGUGUCCUGCCACUGGAGCCUGAGGGGGAGCCUGGAUCAUCGGUCAAGCCUCUUAUUCUAUUGAACAGGCACAGUAGGUACUGGUUGCGGGGUAGAGCUAAGGGUCUAAGGUUCCCUGCUGCCUGAGAGAAGGUGCGGAAGCUCCUCUCCACUAAUUGUGCCUUGGCCAGAAUAACUGAAUAAGUCCUGAGCUUCAGCGCAAACAACUACUAUUUGAUCUCUGGGUGGAGACCCUAUUCAAACCUUCUAGCCUUCCUGCCUUCAUCCAACAAUGUCUCAGGAGAAUAUCAGCCCAACUCUAGAAACUUGCGAGCAUAUUUUGACACAAUUAUGUUCCUCUAGACCAAUUGUACAAACUCCAUCUCCUUCAGAUGUCGGAGAUGCUCUGAAAGGUACUCUACAUAAAAGGGCACCAAGAACUGUUCCCAAGUAACUGGAACAAGCAGGGUAGUCUGUUUGAGUUCCCACCAAUGAUCUGCUUCUCCCACUAGCAUGUAGGUGGCAAGGGUGACUUUCUGCUCAGGAGUCACUCCUAAGGUCUUGAAGGCCUUCUCUAUCUCUUCUAACCAGUACUCGCCAUCUUCGAAAGAGGAUCCCCCUGCAAAAGAGGAAACCAGUGCCAUUUAUAACUAGACUUCGUUCAGGAGACUAUUGAGAAAGUCACAAUCAUCAACAAUAAC